GGCUACGGCUCAACCGUAGUAAGCUCUUGAAACUGGGAGACUUGAGUGCAGGAGAGGAGAGUGGAAUUCCUAGUGUAGCGGUGAAAUGCGUAGAUAUUAGGAGGAACACCAGUUGCGAAGGCGGCUCUCUGGACUGUAACUGACGCUGAGGCCCGAAAGCGUGGGGAGCAAACAGGAUUAGAUACCCUGGUAGUCCACGCUGUAAACGAUGAGUACUAGGUGUCGGGGGUUACCCCCCUCGGUGCCGCAGCUAACGCAUUAAGUACUCCGCCUGGGAAGUACGCUCGCACGAGUGAAACUCAAAGGAAUUGACGGGGACCCG
rnacentral:rRNA from 1 species